CGUGGGAGGAGGCCAACUCUCGGGGCGCUCCCUAGCCCUGGGUGGGUGGAGCGGGGGAAGCGGAGUACGUUGGACCCGGCUCCGCCCUACCCCACGGGGCCGCCUGGAGAGGUGCUGGGAGCUGGGUGGAGCUUAGAGGAAUUAAACUUUGGCCCUGCGCCUCGUCCAGCCUAGGUUCCACCCUUUUCUGGGAACGGUCUUACUCUGUGACCCACGCUGGAGUGCAAUGGCACCAUCACGACUUACUGAAGCCUCCACUUCCCGGGCUCAAGUGAUUCUCACACCUCAGCCUCCUGAGUAGCUGAGACCACAGUUUACACCCCGCCACUCCUGAGCACCGCACACCGGCUUCCUCCCAGUCCCUCAUCUGAGAACUCAUGAAGCCACUUGGAAUCCCUCUCUGCUUUGCCUGGCUCAUUCCAUGUCAAUUUCAGAUCUUCACUUCAGGUCAGCUCCAAGGAGGCUAUCCUUGCCCAUCUUCCUAAAAUAGAGCUCUCAAAACCUGGCUGUUUUCCUUCAGAGCACUGGCCUCCAAUUGCUCCGGUAGAUUGCAAAUGACCUGCUUUCUUUCUGUUCCCGGGCGUUUGGACCCCUGUCUUGGACC
rnacentral:lncRNA from 1 species